AGUGAACGCUGGCGGCAGGCCUAACACAUGCAAGUCGAGCGGCAGCGCGGGGGCAACCCUGGCGGCGAGCGGCGGACGGGUGAGGAAUUCGUCGGAAUCUGCCUUUUUGUGGGGGAUAACGUAGGGAAACUUACGCUAAUACCGCAUACGUCCUACGGGAGAAAGUGGGGGACCGCAAGGCCUCACGCAGAAAGAUGAGCCGACGACCGAUUAGCUAGUUGGUGGGGUAAAGGCCCACCAAGGCGACGAUCGGUAGCUGGUCUGAGAGGAUGAUCAGCCACACUGGGACUGAGACACGGCCCAGACUCCUACGGGAGGCAGCAGUGGGGAAUAUUGGACAAUGGGCGCAAGCCUGAUCCAGCCAUGCCGCGUGUGUGAAGAAGGCCUUCGGGUUGUAAAGCACUUUUGUCCGGAAAGAAAUCCCUGGAGCUAAUACCUUCGGGGGAUGACGGUACCGGAAGAAUAAGCACCGGCGAACUUCG
rnacentral:rRNA from 1 species